rnacentral:rRNA from 1 species
ACAAGCGGUGGAGCAUGUGGUUAAUUCGAAGCAACGACGCAGAACCUUACCAACCCUUGACAUGGGUAUCGCGGCUCCAGAGAUGGAGCUUUCAGUUCGGCUGGAUACCACACAGGUGCUGCAUGGCUGUCGUCAGCUCGUGUCGUGAGAUGUUCGGUUAAGUCCGGCAACGAGCGCAACCCACACUCUUAGUUGCCAGCAUUCAGUUGGGCACUCUAGGAAAACUGCCGGAUGAUAAGUCGGAGGAAGGUGUGGAUGACGUCAAGUCCUCAUGGCCCUUACGGGUUGGGCUACACACGUGCUACAAUGGCAGUGACAAUGGGUUAAUCCCAAAAAGCUGUCUCAGUCCGGAUUGGGGUCUGCAACUCGACCCCAUGAAGUCGGAAUCGCUAGUAAUCGCGUAACAGCAUGACGCGGUGAAUACGUUCCCGGGCCUU